GAAAGCCGUGUGCUACGGAAACGGGCCUGCACGGUUUGGGGACCAGGAGUACAAGCUACUUGGGCGGAAGCCUAAGGUGUGAAGUGCGCUUGAGUCCAU
rnacentral:ncRNA from 1 species